UUUCCUGGGCAUUCCAACGGGGGACUCUUAUUUUGAAUAUAAACCCUGGUUUGGGAACAGGAAAGGGAAGUGUGGCAGCCAUUUUCUUGGAGGAUCAAGUUUGGGGAAGACAGGCCUGGUGGAUCAUUGCUGUUCAAGCCCUAACAAACUUUUACUCCUUUUCUACUCAUCUUUGUCCUUGAAGAGUGGAUCCCCCUCUAACUGUGGAGUUACCUCAAGGAACUGGACUGCUUUUGCCAUCAAACAUGUAGAAGGCCUCUGGCUGGUGUAAUUGGGGGAGGAGCCCAGGUCUCAAAAGAAGGCCUUCAAAAUGGCUGAAGGGAGAGAGGGGACACACCACUUGUAAUGUGUUUUAACUUGUUUGUGUUUUGAAAACUCUCGUGUUAGGAGUGUGCUUUUGUUUUGGGUAUUUUAGCAGUACUUCAUGUACAAGUGCUUGUCUCUUGUCUUAGAGGACUAUCAUCGCUAUACACGUAGUUAUAAUCACAUGCUCAGUAUUUUUGCGUUUUGCUGCACUCUCUUGUAGAGCGUUUACUUAGUUUUGCUAAAUGAACACUGGUUUUAUUAAACAUGUUUGUUUUCUUUGUCGAGUUGUUGCUGUGAAGAAUGCUGUUUGGUUCUGCUAUAUGCCGACCGGCCACUUGGUUAAGUACACCUACCUUGUAUCUACAAUCCUUGUCCAUUUUUGUCAAGCAUGUUUAUCGUAGGUUCACUUUGUAGCUGUACAAUUACGGACUGUAAUCCAUCUGCAUAAUUUGUUAGCCCCCUUCCACUCUGUUCUUCAGUGGUCAGGACCAACAUAGAGCAGGUGUUCACUGGGUGGUGGAUCAUUCUCAGAAAAGCACUGGUCAAAGGACGCUGCUCACAGGACACUGUUGCCUGGACUGUGUUACGUCCUCGGGCACGCACAUUCAACGAGCAGAAACCAACGCCAAGCAACGCUGGAGCUACGGGAAGUGAAAAGGCCCAAGAAGCGUGUUUCUACCGGCGUAGAGCAAUAUUUCCCAGUAAAAUUGAACCAAAAUCAGUCUUUUGUACGAUUUUUUUUUUUCUGUUCACUGUGAUAUAACAUUGUUUUCGAAAUGUCAUUUCAGAAAUUAUACACAUGUACAUGCUAUGCAUGUGUAUUACCCUCCAGCUCAGGGAUAUUAAUACAGCCUGUGUGGAAAGACCUUUCACAUUUAUCACAGGCAAUCUGUAAAACGAAAAGAUAAUAAUUUAAAUAAAUUAAAUAAAUUACCAGAUUUAAUUUUAAAUCUUGCUGACUUUCCAGUUAUACCUGGUUCAGCAGCAAAAAAC